rnacentral:rRNA from 1 species
AGUAACGCGUGGGUAACCUGCCUCACACAGGGGGAUAGCAGUUGGAAACGGCUGAUAAUACCGCAUAAGCGCACAGUACCGCACGGUACAGUGUGAAAAACUCCGGUGGUGUGAGAUGGACCCGCGUCUGAUUAGCUUGUUGGCAGGGUAACGGCCUACCAAGGCAACGAUCAGUAGCCGACCUGAGAGGGUGACCGGCCACAUUGGGACUGAGACACGGCCCAG